GCGUCGAUGAAGAGCGCAGCCAGCUGCGUGAAUUAAUGUGAAUUGCAGGACACACUGAACAUCGACACCUUGAACGCACAUUGCGGCUCUGGCUCACUGCCAGAGCCACGCCUGUCCGAGGGUCGGCGAACAAGUCAUCGGCUCUCACUGUUCACUACAGUGAGGGGCGAGUUGGCGCGUCGCGCGGGCUUUCGUCCCGCUCGUCCGCCGUAGAUUCCAGCCUCUCUCUGCCGGUCGAACCAGUCGCUGGAAGUGGCGCGGAGACAGGGCUCGAACGGGCCCGCACGUCCCGCUCCGCGUCCUCCUUCACCGGAGGGCGGCCUUCCGUGCGGCGUCGUCGCCGGCAAAAGCGAGAGAGAGCGGCGAAGGACGGGUCUAGCCAGCCCGGCCCCCAGCCGAAACCGGAGACGCGGGGAGACAGGCCGACUGACGACGACGACUCCAGCGAUGGGGUCCGAGUCCGAUGACGCCUCAACCCCCGCACCACCUCCAAAAAAUUCAUCCGACCUCGGAUCAGACGGGACUACCCGCUGAAUUUAAGCAUAUCAGUAAGCGGAGGAAAAGAAACU
rnacentral:misc_RNA from 1 species